rnacentral:rRNA from 1 species
AACGGCUACCACAUCCAAGAAGGCAGCAGCGCGCCAUUACCCAAUCCCGAUACGGGAGGUAGUGACAUAAAUACUGAUACGGGGCUCUUUGGGUCUCGUAAUGGAAUGAGANCAAUUAAAUCCUUAACGAGAAACAAUGGAGGGCAAGUCUGGUGCCAGCAGCCGCGGUAAUUCCAGCUCCAAUAGCGUAUAUUAAAGUUGUGCAGUUUAAAAAGCUCGUAGUUGAACCUUGGGUCUGGCUGGCCGGUCCGCCUCACCGCGAGUACUGGUCCGGCUGGACCUUUCCUUCUGGGGAACCUCAUGGCCUUCACUGGCUGUGGGGGGAACCAGGACUUUUACUGUGAAAAAAUUAGAGUGUUCAAAGCAGGCCUUUGCUCGAAUACAUUAGCAUGGAAUAAUAGAAUAGGACGUGUGGUUCUAUUUUGUUGGUUUCUAGGACCGCCGUAAUGAUUAAUAGGGAUAGUCGGGGGCGUCAGUAUUCAGCUGUCAGAGGUGAAAUUCUUGGAUUUGCUGAAGACUAACUACUGCGAAAGCAUUCGCCAAGGAUGUUUUCAUUAAUCAGGGAACGAAAGUUAGGGGAUCGAAGACGAUCAGAUACCGUCGUAGUCUUAACCAUAAACUAUGCCGACUAGGGAUCGGACGGGAUUCUAUAAUGACCCGUUCGGCACCUUACGAGAAAUCAAAGUUUUUGGGUUCUGGGGGGAGUAUGGUCGCAAGGCUGAAACUUAAAGAAAUUGACGGAAGGGCACCACAAGGCGUGGAGCCUGCGGCUUAAUUUGACUCAACACGGGGAAACUCACCAGGUCCAGACAAAAUAAGGAUUGACAGAUUGAGAGCUCUUUCUUGAUCUUUUGGAUGGUGGUGCAUGGCCGUUCUUAGUUGGUGGAGUGAUUUGUCUGCUUAAUUGCGAUAACGAACGAGACCUCGGCCCUUAAAUAGCCCGGUCCGCAUUUGCGGGCCGCUGGCUUCUUAAGGGGACUAUCGGCUCAAGCCGAUGGAAGUGCGAGGCAUAC